rnacentral:snoRNA from 1 species
AUUCCAUGAUAAGGGCACUUUCGUAAUAACUCUUUAUACCUUUCCCAUGCUUCAUACAGAGACUCAUCUUCCAUUUGUUGGAAGGCAAUGAUCUCAUUCCUCAACUU